UCCUUUACCGUCGCACAACGCGGGCAGGGACGACAGGCCGCCCCUUCGAAACGUUUCCCGCUCACUACAUGAGCACCCGUGCAGAUGCACCACCUUGGUGGCCCGCCACUGUUUGGCAACGCUACGCUCUAUUGAUCGCUCUUGAACUUCUCUCUUACGCGUCGCGCACGCGCGUACGCCGGUUUCCGUCGGUAGUCUGCUGAGUUUUGCCAUGGCGUACUUGGCACUGAAAAGCGUCAGGGGCGCUUCCCGUGCACCGGCGAAGCGUCGGGCCGCGGCGAAUAGAAUUGUGGCAAUGUGUCGCGCCGGAGGUGCUUCUGGUGUCACUACCGCAGACGCUGCAACCAAGCCCGCCACUGCCGUAUCUGCCGAGACAAGGCCGGCGAUGGAUGAAGAUCACCCUAUUGGUCCAGUUGUGCAUGCUGACAGUCGCGUGCUGUUCUGUGGAACAUUCCCUCCCGUUAGGAAGAGCAUCCGCUUCUACUACCCGAACGCCAACAACGACAUGUGGAAGGUGCUCGGCCAGGUCUUCUAUGAUGAUGCCGAUGCUUUUUACACAGCCGCUUCACGCGCUUCCUCGUUAUUUUCAGCGCCGCCCCAGCACGCAAGCUGCCACGCCGCCACUCGGGCACUGGAUGAGGCUCGUAUCGUGCGCUUUGCUGACUCGCAGCCUGUGGGCUUCUUCGAUGUAUGCCGACGAGUUCGCCGUCGCCUUGGCACCUCGGCAGACGACAACAUCGAGGCGCUCGAGCGCACGAACGUUGUGAGGGACGUCCUUUCGCACACCCCUCACUGUGCAGGCAUCAUCACCACCGGCACGCUGGCACUCACAAUGCUCUUGGACGAUCUGUCAGUUCACGGAACGUUUCUCACGAGCAGUGAGGCACCUGUGGAGGUCGUCCUCAAGACGCGGCAGGGCAAGCGCAAGUACAAUAUUCCGCCCAUAGGGGGGCAGCUGAAGUGGGUACCAAGUGAGGCGUGCGCCUUCCGCAGUGCUGUCUGGAUUUACCGAGGUCCGUCGACUUCACGGGCACUGCCCCUCAAGCUUGAGGACAAGACGAGGCACUAUCGUCUUGCUGUUGCCGCGCAUCUUCCCCUUCCGCUGACGAGCGCGCCCGCAUCUGUGGCGAACAUGUAGCUAAAAGAGGAGAGGGGAAAGUAGUGCUGCGGGCAAGCCGCUCGCACCCUUCAUGCACCCUUGUCUCUCGCUGAACCACGUUGUAUGCAUUUUUUUCUGUGCAUUGGAAAUGCCAUUCAUGCUUUUUGUGCGCUUGAUUGCCCUCCCCUCGCUCUCGUCGUGCGUGUCUGCUCCCCGCCGUGCCCUUGCUGGACUUCAAUUUCGGAUUUGCUGGCUUCAGCUCCUACCUCUGUUGUGUUCCUCGACGCUCUUUGUUGUGGCUCUCAAAGCCCUACACCGCCGCUGAUCUAGGCGCCUCUAC
rnacentral:misc_RNA from 1 species